UACGAAGGGGGCUAGCGUUGUUCGGAAUUACUGGGCGUAAAGCGCGCGCAGGCGGUUCUUCAAGUCAGUGGUGAAAGCCCGGAGCUCAACUCCGGAAUUGCCAUUGAAACUGUAGAACUUGAGGAUGAGAGAGGUGAGUGGAAUUCCCAGUGUAGAGGUGAAAUUCGUAGAUAUUGGGAAGAACACCGGUGGCGAAGGCGGCUCACUGGCUCAUUUCUGACGCUCAGGCGUGACAGCGGGGGGAUCAAACAGG
rnacentral:rRNA from 1 species